ACCCAAUAGAUACCCCGGUAGUCCACGCCCUAAACGAUGUCAACUGGUUGUUGGGGAAGGUAACUUCCUUAGUAACGAAAGCUAAACGCGUGAAAGUUGACCGCCUGGGGAGUACGGCCGCAAGGUUAAAACUCAAAGGAAUUGACGGGGACCCGCACAAGCGGUGGAUGAUGUGGAUUAAUUCGAUGCAAACGCGAAGAACCUUACCUACCCUUGACAUGUAGCGGACCCUGCUGAGAGGUGGGGGUGCCCGAAAGGGAACGCUAACACAGGUGCUGCAUGGCUGUCGUCAGCUCGUGUCGUGAGAUGUUGGGUUAAGUCCCGCAACGAGCGCAACCCUUGUCACUAGUUGCUACGAAAGGGCACUCUAGUGAGACUGCCGGUGACAAACCGGAGGAAGGUGGGGAUGACGUCAAGUCCUCAUGGCCCUUAUGGGUAGGGCUUCACACGUCAUACAAUGGCGCAUACAGAGGGUUGCCAACCCGCGAGGGGUAGCCAAUCCCAGAAAGUGCGUCGUAGUCCGGAUUGUUCUCUGCAACUCGAGAGCAUGAAGUC
rnacentral:rRNA from 1 species